rnacentral:rRNA from 1 species
UACGGGGGGAGCAAGCGUUGUUCGGAUUUACUGGGCGUAAAGGGCGCGUAGGCGGCGUGACAAGUCACUUGUGAAAUCUCCGGGCUUAACCCGGAGCGGCCAAGUGAUACUGUCGUGCUAGAGUGCGGAAGGGGCUACUGGAAUUCUCGGUGUAGCGGUGAAAUGCGCAGAUAUCAGGAAGAACACCCGUGGCGAAAGCGGCUCUCUGGAACGGUACUGACGCUGAGACGCGAAAGCGUGGGGAGCGAACAGG